UACGUAGGGUGCGAGCGUUGUCCGGAAUUAUUGGGCGUAAAGAGCUCGUAGGCGGUGUGUCACGUCGGCCGUGAAAACCUGCAGCUUAACUGUGGGCGUGCGGUCGAUACGGGCAUCACUGGAGUUCGGCAGGGGAGACUGGAAUUCCUGGUGUAGCGGUGAAAUGCGCAGAUAUCAGGGAGGAACACCGGUGGCCGAAGGCGGGGUCUCUGGGCCGAUACUGACGUGGAGGAGCGAAAAGCGUGGGGGAGCAAACAGG
rnacentral:rRNA from 1 species